rnacentral:lncRNA from 1 species
GAAAAAUAAAAGAUGAAUUGUUCAUCUUCCUAAACUCCACCCUUCACCCGCCUGCGACUCCACCCAAAAAUAAUCCACACGCUGCGACCACCGCCGCUACCAUCACCGCGACCCCUUCUUCCCUCAACCGCGCGGUCGCAAUCUCACACAUCUACUUCACUCUUCGUCACCGCCGAACCCCCGUUUCUCCGGCCACGAAC